rnacentral:tRNA from 1 species
GAGAUACUAGUAAUAACCAUUACACCACCUUGUCAAGAUGGUAUUGCGGGUUAGAGCCCCGCGUAUCUCA